rnacentral:rRNA from 1 species
UUGGAGGGCAAGUCUGGUGCCAGCAGCCGCGGUAAUUCCAGCUCCAAUAGCGUAUAUUAAAGUUGUUGCAGUUAAAAAGCUCGUAGUUGAAUUUCGGGGUCAGUGGGUUGGUCGUGCCACUGGUAUGUACUGGCCCUACUGAUUCCUCCUUCUUGAAGAACUGUAAUGCCAUUAAUUUGGUGUUGCAGGGAAACAGGACUGUUACUUUGAAAAAAUUAGAGUGUUUAAAGCAGGCAAUCGCUUGAAUACAUUAGCAUGGAAUAAUGAAAUAGGACGAUCGAUCCUAUUUUGUUGGUUUCUAGGAUUGACGUAAUGAUUAAUAGGGAUAGUUGGGGGCAUUAGUAUUCAAUUGUCAGAGGUGAAAUUCUUGGAUUUAUUGAAGACUAACUACUGCGAAAGCAUUUGCCAAGGAUGUUUUCAUUAAUCAAGAACGAAAGUUAGGGGAUCGAAGACGAUCAGAUACCGUCGUAGUCUUAACCAUAAACUAUGCCGACUAGGGAUCGGAUGAUGUUAAUUUUUUAAUGACUCAUUCGGCGCCUUACGGGAAAC